rnacentral:rRNA from 1 species
UGCAAGUCGGACGGAGCUUAGAGAGCUUGCUUUUUAAGCUUAGUGGCGAACGGGUGAGUAACGCGUGAGUAACCUGCCCUAGAGUGGGGGACAACAGUUGGAAACGACUGCUAAUACCGCAUAAGCCCACGGUACCGCAUGGUACUGAGGGAAAAGGAUUUAUUCGCUUUAGGAUGGACUCGCGUCCAAUUAGCUAGUUGGUGAGGUAACGGCCCACCAAGGCGACGAUUGGUAGCCGGACUGAGAGGUUGAACGGCCACAUUGGGACUGAGACACGGCCCAGACUCCUACGGGAGGCAGCAGUGGGGGAUAUUGCACAAUGGGGGAAACCCUGAUGCAGCGACGCCGCGUGGAGGAAGAAGGUUUUCGGAUUGUAAACUCCUGUCGUUAGGGACGAUAAUGACGGUACCUAACAAGAAAGCACCGGCUAACUACGUGCCAGCAGCCGCGGUAAAACGUAGGGUGCAAGCGUUGUCCGGAAUUACUGGGUGUAAAGGGAGCGCAGGCGGGAAGACAAGUUGGAAGUGAAAACCAUGGGCUCAACCCAUGAAUUGCUUUCAAAACUGUUUUUCUUGAGUAGUGCAGAGGUAGAUGGAAUUCCCGGUGUAGCGGUGGAAUGCGUAGAUAUCGGGAGGAACACCAGUGGCGAAGGCGGUCUACUGGGCACCAACUGACGCUGAGGCUCGAAAGCAUGGGUAGCAAACAGGAUUAGAUACCCUGGUAGUCCAUGCCGUAAACGAUGAUUACUAGGUGUUGGAGGAUUGACCCCUUCAGUGCCGCAGUUAACACAAUAAGUAAUCCACCUGGGGAGUACGACCGCAAGGUUGAAACUCAAAGGAAUUGACGGGGGCCCGCACAAGCAGUGGAGUAUGUGGUUUAAUUCG